UACGUAGGGCGCGAGCGUUGUCCGGAAUUAUUGGGCGUAAAGAGCUCGUAGGCGGCUUGUCGCGUCGGAUGUGAAAGCCCGGGGCUUAACUCCGGGUCUGCAUUCGAUACGGGCAGGCUAGAGUUCGGUAGGGGAGAUCGGAAGUUCCUGGUGUAGCGGUGAAAUGCGCAGAUAUCGGGAGGAACACCGGUGGCGAAGGCGGUUCUCUGGGCCUUACCUGACGCUGAGGAGCGAAAGCGUGGGGAGCGAACAGG
rnacentral:rRNA from 1 species